CUGAGCAGCUGUUUGAGGAAGCAGAGUGUUUGGCUCAAAAAGAAUAUUGCUGUAUAAUCCCUCAGGCUUCUAGGGAGGAAACAGUGUCUCAUUAUAAUCCAAAAAGAGCCGGGAGUUGGGUUUGGUUCUUUUUUUUUUUUUUUUUUUUUCAGUUUAACAUUAUUAAAAUGUAAAAUCUGUUGUGAUUCAUCCAAGGAAAGGCUCUGCUGCUUUUCUUCUGCUGCUUUGAGCAUCGUUACCGUGUGUGUCCAGUCUGAGCAGAAGCAGCAGGAAAGGAAAAGAAGAGGGGCAGAGGAAGAGGAAAAACCCAACCUCGUUCAGCAUGUUCUGCAAAUGCAGCUUCUUCUUCCGCAUGAGCAAACAGACCACGAUGGACUCCUGGGUGAUGGGUAGAGAAGUUCAGAAAGCUUCCAGGGAGCACCUAAUCCACGAGUCGGGACUGCUGAUGUUUGCUUCAGCCUGGUAUCCCAUGAGUUAUUGAAUCCAGAUUUUCAGGUGGAAAGCCCUGUUUUGCUGGUGAAGCCAUCAGCCUGCCUUGCACUGAUCUCACAGCUCUAUAGGAUGCCUUCAACCCCACGCUACAAUCAAAAGGAACAGUGUUAGGAUGGAAGCACUUGAAUUUAAAUCACUACUGCCCUGCCAUAACAAGGUUGGCUGGCAUCUUGAUGUGGUGAAAAAG
ensembl:lncRNA